CCUACGGGUGGCAGCAGUGGGGAAUAUUGCACAAUGGGCGCAAGCCUGAUGCAGCCAUGCCGCGUGUGUGAAGAAGGCCUUCGGGUUGUAAAGCACUUCCAGCGGGGAGGAAGGCGUUAAGGUUAAUAACCUUGUCGAUUGACGUUACCCGCAGAAGAAGCACCGGCUAACUCCGUGCCAGCAGCCGCGGUAAUACGGAGGGUGCAAGCGUUAAUCGGAAUUACUGGGCGUAAAGCGCACGCAGGCGGUCUGUCAAGUCGGAUGUGAAAUCCCCGGGCUCAACCUGGGAACUGCAUUCGAAACUGGCAGGCUAGAGUCUUGUAGAGGGGGGUAGAAUUCCACGUGUAGCGGUGAAAUGCGUAGAGAUGUGGAGGAACACCAGUGGCGAAGGCGGCUCUCUGGUCUGUAACUGACGCUGAGGCGCGAAAGCGUGGGGAGCAAACAGGAUUAGAUACCCUAGUAGUC
rnacentral:rRNA from 1 species